AUGCCGCCGCGCUCCUGCGCCCUCGCGCUGCUUGUAUCGCUCGCCUGCGCCGCGCUGCUGGUCGCCCCGUGCCGGUGCGUCAAUGAGCAGGGCCGCGCGCUGCUGGACUGGCGGCGGUCGCUGCGGCCGACGGGCGGCGCGCUCGACUCGUGGAGGGCGUCGGACGCUUCCCCGUGCCGGUGGCUCGGCGUGUCGUGCGACGCGCGCGGCGCCGUCACGUCGCUGAGCGUCACCGGCGUCGACCUGCGUGGCCCGCUCCCCGCGAACCUGCUGCCGCUCGCGCCGUCGCUCACCACGCUGGUGCUCUCCGGCACGAACCUCACCGGCCCGAUCCCGCCGGAGAUCGGCGGGUACGGCGAGCUCGUCACGCUCGACCUCAGCAAGAACCAGCUCACGGGCGCGAUCCCGCCCGAGCUCUGCCGGCUCGCCAAGCUCGAGACGCUCGCGCUCAACUCCAAUUCCCUGUGCGGCGCCAUCCCCGACGACCUCGGCGACCUCGCCAGCCUCACGCAUGUCACGCUCUACGACAACGAGCUCAGCGGCACCAUCCCGGCGAGCAUCGGGAGGCUCAAGAAGCUGCAGGUCAUCCGCGCCGGCGGGAACCAGGCGCUCAAGGGCCCGCUGCCAAAGGAGAUCGGCGGCUGCGCCGACCUCACCAUGAUCGGCCUCGCCGAGACCGGCAUGUCCGGCAGCCUCCCGGAGACGAUCGGCCAGCUCAAGAAGAUCCAGACCAUUGCCAUCUACACCACAAUGCUCUCCGGCGGCAUCCCGGAGUCCAUCGGCAACUGCACCGAGCUCACCAGCCUCUACCUCUACCAGAAUUCUCUUUCGGGCGCGAUACCGCCGCAGCUUGGCCGGCUCCGGAAGCUGCAGUCGCUGCUGCUCUGGCAGAACCAGCUCGUGGGCGCGAUCCCGCCGGAGCUCGGCCAGUGCGAGGAGCUCACCCUUAUCGACCUCUCGCUGAAUUCUCUCUCCGGCAGCAUUCCGGCAACCUUGGGCCGGCUGCCGAACCUCCAGCAGCUGCAGCUGAGCACGAACCGGCUCACCGGCGUCAUCCCGCCGGAGCUCUCCAACUGCACCUCGCUGACGGAUAUCGAGCUCGACAACAACGCGCUCUCCGGGGAGAUCCGCCUCGACUUCCCGAAGCUCGGGAACCUCACGCUGUUCUACGCGUGGAAAAACGGCCUCACUGGCGGCGUGCCGGCGAGCCUCGCCGAGUGCGCGAGCCUCCAGUCGGUGGACCUCUCCUACAACAACCUCACCGGGCCGAUCCCGAAGGAGCUAUUCGGGCUGCAGAACUUGACGAAGCUGCUGCUGCUGAGCAACGAGCUCUCCGGCGUCGUGCCGCCCGACAUCGGCAACUGCACCAACCUCUACCGGCUUCGGCUCAACGGCAACCGGCUGUCGGGCACGAUACCCCCCGAGAUCGGCAACCUGAAGAACCUCAAUUUCCUCGACAUGAGCGAGAACCACCUCGUCGGCCCGGUGCCGGCGGCCAUUUCCGGGUGCGCCAGCCUCGAGUUCCUCGACCUGCACUCCAAUGCUCUGUCCGGCGCAUUGCCUGCCGCGCUGCCGCGCAGCCUCCAGCUCGUUGACGUGUCCGAUAACCAGCUUUCUGGGCAGCUGAGGUCCAGCGUUGCCUCGAUGCCGGAGCUGACGAAGCUUUACUUGGCGAAGAAUCGGCUGACCGGCGGCAUCCCGCCGGAGCUCGGUUCAUGCGAGAAGCUCCAGCUGCUGGACCUCGGGGACAACGCGUUCUCUGGCGGCAUCCCCGCGGAGCUCGGGGCGCUCCAGUCGUUGGAGAUUUCGCUUAACCUCAGUUGCAACCGUCUGUCCGGUGAGAUACCGCCGCAGUUCGCCGGCCUUGACAAGCUCGGCAGCCUCGACCUGUCGCACAACGGGCUGUCCGGGAGCCUCGACCCGCUCGCGGCGUUGCAGAACCUCGUCACGCUCAACAUCUCAUACAACGCCUUCUCUGGCGAGCUCCCGAACACCCCCUUCUUCCAGAAGUUGCCGCUCAGCGACCUCGCCGGCAAUCGCCACCUCGUCGUCAGCGAUGGCUCCGACGAGUCCUCCGGGCGCGGCGCCCUGACGACGCUCAAGAUAGCCAUGUCCGUCCUGGCCGUUGUCAGCGCGGCGUUCCUGGUGGCCGCCACCUACAUGCUCGCCCGCGCGCGCCUCGGCGGCCGCAGCAGCGCCCCGGUGGACGGGCACGGCACGUGGGAGGUGACGCUGUACCAGAAGCUGGACAUAUCCAUGGACGACGUGCUCCGCGGGCUGACGUCCGCGAACGUGAUCGGCACAGGCAGCUCUGGCGUGGUGUACAGGGUGGACACCCCGAACGGCUACACCAUCGCGGUGAAGAAGAUGUGGUCGCCGGACGAGGCAAGCGCCGGCUUGGCCUUCCGCAGCGAGAUCGCCGCGCUGGGGUCCAUCCGCCACCGCAACAUCGUCCGGCUGCUGGGCUGGGCGGCCAACGGCGGCAGCAGCACGCGGCUGCUGUUCUACAGCUACCUGCCCAACGGUAACCUGAGCGGCCUCCUCCACGGCGGCGUCGUCGGGGGCACCAAGGGCGCGCCGACGGCCGAGUGGGGCGCGCGCUACGACGUGGCGCUCGGGGUCGCCCACGCCGUGGCGUACCUACACCACGACUGCGUGCCGGCCAUCCUGCACGGGGACAUCAAGUCGAUGAACGUGCUGCUCGGCCCGGCCUACGAGCCGUACCUCGCCGACUUCGGCCUCGCCCGCAUCCUCUCCUCCGGGCAGAGCAAGCUCGACGACUCCUCGUCCAAGCCGCAGCGCAUCGCCGGCUCCUACGGCUACAUGGCGCCAGAGUACGCGUCGAUGCAGCGGAUCAGCGAGAAGAGCGACGUGUACAGCUUCGGGGUGGUGCUGCUGGAGGUGCUGACGGGGCGGCACCCGCUGGACCCGACGCUGCCGGGCGGGGCGCACCUGGUGCAGUGGGUGCAGGCCAAGCGCGGGAGCGACGACGAGAUCCUGGACGCGCGGCUGAGGGAGAGCGCCGGCGAGGCGGACGCGCACGAGAUGCGGCAGGUGCUGGCCGUGGCCGCGCUCUGCGUGUCCCGCCGCGCGGACGACCGGCCCGCGAUGAAGGACGUGGUGGCGCUGCUCGAGGAGAUCCGGCGCCCCGCCGCGGCCGACGACGCCAAGCCGCCGCGGCCGGCGACCACGCUGCCCUCCGCCGCGGCCGCGCCGAUGCUGUCGCCGGCCCGGGGCGGCGCGCGCUCUGUGGGCGACUCGUUCGCCGUCUCGGACUACUCCGCCUGA
rnacentral:rRNA from 1 species